rnacentral:rRNA from 1 species
CAUGUCCUUUUGAUUAUAAUUUAAGGUCUAAUCUGCUCAAUGAGGAGUUAAAUUGCCGCGGUAUUUUGACCGUGCAAAGGUAGCAUAAUAAUUAGUUUUUUAAUUGAAAGCUGGAAUGAAUGAUUGGACGAGAAAAUUAUUGUCUCUUUUUAAAUUUUUGUUUAAUUUAACUUUUAAGUUAAAAGGCUUAAAUUUUUGUUAAAGACGAGAAGACCCUAUAGAGUUUAACAUUUACUUAAUUAUUGACUGUUUGGGAUAGCGGGUUUUAUAGUUUUUAAUUAUUUAGUUGUUUAGUUGGGGUGACUGGAAGAUGAAUUUAACUCUUCUAUUAUUUUAAAUCAAUGAUUUUUGAAUAUAUAAUCUAUUUUUUAUAAAUUUAAGAUAAAUUACCUUAGGGAUAACAGCGUAAUUUCUUCUUAGAGUUCUUAUUGAUGAAGAAGUUUGCGACCUCGAUGUUGGAUUAAAAUUUAUUUUUGGUGCAGAAGCUAGAAUAUUGAGUCUGUUCGACUCUUAAAAUUUUACAUGAUCUGAGU